rnacentral:rRNA from 1 species
UACGUAGGGGGCGAGCGUUGUCCGGAGUUACUGGGCGUAAAGCGCACGCAGGCGGUCUGCUAAGUUUGGAGUGACAGUUGGUGGCUUAACUGCCAAAGUGCUUCGAAAACUGACAGACUUGAGGGCUUCAGAGGGACACGGAAUUCCGGGUGGAGUGGUGAAAUGCGCAGAUAUCAGGAGGAACACCGAUGGCGAAGGCAGGUCUCUGGGCAUUAACUGACGCUGAGGAGCGAAAGCAUGGGGAGCGAACAGG